rnacentral:rRNA from 1 species
UGCCAGCCGCCGCGGUAAUACGGAGGGUGCAAGCGUUGUUCGGAAUUAUUGGGCGUAAAGCGCGUGUAGGCGGUUCGUUAAGUCUGAUGUGAAAGUCCACGGCUCAACCGUGGAAGUGCAUUUGAAACUGGCGAACUUGAGUACGGGAGAGGAAAGUGGAAUUCCGAGUGUAGGAGUGAAAUCCGUAGAUAUUCGGAGGAACACCGGUGGCGAAGGCGGCUUCCUGGACCGAUACUGACGCUGAGACGCGAAAGCGUGGGGAGCAAACAGGAUUAGAUA